rnacentral:rRNA from 1 species
UGGGGAAUAUUGCACAAUGGGCGCAAGCCUGAUGCAGCCAUGCCGCGUGUGUGAAGAAGGCCUUCGGGUUGUAAAGCACUUUCAGCGGGGAGGAAGGCGAUAAGGUUAAUAACCUCAUCGAUUGACGUUACCCGCAGAAGAAGCACCGGCUAACUCCGUGCCAGCAGCCGCGGUAAUACGGAGGGUGCAAGCGUUAAUCGGAAUUACUGGGCGUAAAGCGCACGCAGGCGGUCUGUCAAGUCGGAUGUGAAAUCCCCGGGCUCAACCUGGGAACUGCAUGCGAAACUGGCAGGCUAGAGUCUUGUAGAGGGGGGUAGAAUUCCAGGUGUAGCGGUGAAAUGCGUAGAGAUCUGGAGGAAUACCGGUGGCGAAGGCGGCCCCCUGGACAAAGACUGACGCUCAGGUGCGAAAGCGUGGGGAGCAAACAGG